rnacentral:lncRNA from 1 species
UUUGUAUUUCUGUGUUAUUUUGGUUUCUUGCAGAUAGUUGUCUCAUUGACACCAAACCCGAUAUCUUCUUUUUUUAUAUUCGAUAUCUUAUCGCCGACCUGGUUAAGUCUGCUAAAAAUGCAUGCAUGAUUCAUUUUUAGGUUAUCAGUCGUAAUUAAAGUGGCACAUUUAAUUCGUUGUUUCAUUGCUUGAAGUAUCAUUUCUUACAUCUGCAUGGUCAAAUGUGUAUUUUUUUUAAAUAAAUUUUAGAUUUAGAUUUCAGUCACGGUUAUUUUUCCCCCUUCAUAUUGAAUAUCUAUACUUAUCAGUCGCAUUUUAAUGACGAAAAGGAUUCAGAGGUUAUUAAAAAAAAGUAAAUAAUGUUGCAAUAUUUAAACAAAGAAAAUAACUUUAAAUUUGCAAUAUUAAUGAAAAUAAAUACGGACAUAACUUUCAUAAUUAAUUUUAACGUUAUUUUCAAUAAACGAUUUUUUUUUAA